UACGUAGGGGGCAAGCGUUGUCCGGAAUCAUUGGGCGUAAAGAGCGUGUAGGCGGCUUGGUAAGUCCGCUGUGAAAGUCCAGGGCUCAACCCUGGAAUGCCGGUGGAAACUGUCAAGCUUGAGUCCGGAAGAGGCGAGUGGAAUUCCUGGUGUAGCGGUGAAAUGCGCAGAUAUCAGGAGGAACACCAAUGGCGAAGGCAGCUCGCUGGGACGGUACUGACGCUGAGACGCGAAGGCGUGGGGAGCAAACAGG
rnacentral:rRNA from 1 species